rnacentral:rRNA from 1 species
CCUACGGGUGGCAGCAGUGAGGCAUAUUGGUCACUGGACGAGAGUCUGAACCAGCCAAGUAGCGUGAAGGAUGACUGCCCUAUGGGUUGUAAACUUCUUUUAUAUGGGAAUAAAAUGUUCCACGUGUGGGAUUUUGUAUAUACCAUAUGAAUAAGGAUCGGCUAACUCCGUGCCAGCAGCCGCGGUAAUACGGAGGAUCCGAGCGUUAUCCGGAUUUAUUGGGUUUAAAGGGAGCGUAGGUGGAUUGUUAAGUCAGUUGUGAAAGUUUGCGGCUCAACCGUCAAAUUGCAGUUGAAAAUGGCAGUCUUGAGUACAGUAGAGGUAGGCGGAAUUCGUGGUGUAGCGGUGAAAUGCUUAGAUAUCACGAAGAACUCCGAUUGCGAAGGCAGUUCACUGGACUGCAACUGACACUGAGGCUCGAAAGUGUGGGUAUCAAACAGGAUUAGAUACCCGAGUAGUC